UUUACGCCGGUAAAUUCACAAAUGCAUCACAUCGCCAUUAAAUUAUCUAUUUUGAGACCUUUUGAUUACUAGCCAAAUAAUGUCAAAAAAUUAUGAAAUUUAGUUUCCAAAUACUUUUAAUAGUGUAGAUCAAGUCUAACGGAGCCAAUCGUCAAUUUGGAAACCGCAUCAUUGAAAACAACUUGAUAGCACGGAGGCAUCAGUGCUACCGAUAGUAUACCAUCCUAACUCUAUAUAUAUAGACACACACACACACACAAACACACACACAUAUAUGUGUGUAUACAUAUACAUAUACAUAUAUAUAGAGUCAGGCUGGUGUGCUAUUAAUAGCACAGCCGAACUCAUGCUAGUGAGUUUUUUACCAUUGGAUCACUUUGAGAUCCGUGCUGUGACUUAAAAGGAGGAUUAACGAAAAAACAUCCGCUAAGUUGUGUGCUCUCUCUCUUUUCGUGCGCUCUCUCCCAUCUCUCCCUAUCUUACUCUCUCUCCGUGUUUUCUCUCUCUCUCUUUUUAUCUCCCCCUCUCCCACACCCCUCACUGCCCGUCUCUAAACCUUACCGCACCCCCUGCCCGCGCUCCCUGCGGCUGCUCCUCUCCUUCUCUGUACGAAAAGGCCCACAAAAUGCUAUUUCGAAAAACUGUGAUAACCAAAAAAAUUGCAAUUCAAAAAAGUCU
rnacentral:lncRNA from 1 species